GAUGAACGCUGGCGGCGUGCCUAACACAUGCAAGUCGAGCGAAGCACUUAAAAUGGAUUCUUCGGAUGAAGCUUUAUGUGACUGAGCGGCGGACGGGUGAGUAACGCGUGGGCAACCUGCCUUACACAGGGGGAUAACAGUUAGAAAUGACUGCUAAUACCGCAUAAGACCACAGGGCUGCAUGGCCUGGUGGUAAAAACUCUGGUGGUGUAAGAUGGGCCCGCGUCUGAUUAGGUAGUUGGCGGGGUAACGGCCCACCAAGCCGACGAUCAGUAGCCGACCUGAGAGGGUGACCGGCCACAUUGGGACUGAGACACGGCCCAG
rnacentral:rRNA from 1 species